rnacentral:rRNA from 1 species
AUAUUUUGAAUGGCAUCAUUUAAAAUUGAAAACUCCGGUGGAUAGAGAUGGGCACGCGCAAGAUUAGAUAGUUGGUAGGGUAACGGCCUACCAAGUCAGUGAUCUUUAGGGGGCCUGAGAGGGUGAUCCCCCACACUGGUACUGAGACACGGACCAGACUCCUACGGGAGGCAGCAGUGAGGAAUAUUGGACAAUGGGUGAGAGCCUGAUCCAGCCAUCCCGCGUGAAGGACGACGGCCCUAUGGGUUGUAAACUUCUUUUGUACAGGGAUAAACCUUUCCACGUGUGGAAAGCUGAAGGUACUGUACGAAUAAGCACCGGCUAACUCCGUGCCAGCAGCCGCGGUAAUACGGAGGGUGCAAGCGUUAUCCGGAUUUAUUGGGUUUAAAGGGUCCGUAGGCGGAUCCGUAAGUCAGUGGUGAAAUCUCAUAGCUUAACUAUGAAACUGCCAUUGAUACUGCGGGUCUUGAGUAAGGUAGAAGUAGCUGGAAUAAGUAGUGUAGCGGUGAAAUGCAUAGAUAUUACUUAGAACACCAAUUGCGAAGGCAGGUUACUAUGUCUUAACUGACGCUGAUGGACGAAAGCGUGGGGAGCGAACAGGAUUAGAUACCCUGGUAGUCCACGCCGUAAACGAUGCUAACUCGUUUUUGGGCUUUCGGGUUCAGAGACUAAGCGAAAGUGAUAAGUUAGCCACCUGGGGAGUACGAACGCAAGUUUGAAACUCAAAGGAAUUGACGGGGGCCCGCACAAGCGGUGGAUUAUGUGGUUUAAUUCGAUGAUACGCGAGGAACCUUACCAAGACUUAAAUGGGAAUUGAUCGGUUUAGAAAUAGACCUUCCUUCGGGCAAUUUUCAAGGUGCUGCAUGGUUGUCGUCAGCUCGUGCCGUGAGGUGUUAGGAUUAAGUCCUGCAACGAGCGCAACCCCUGUCACUAGUUGCCAUCAUUCAGUUGGGGACUCUAGUGAGACUGCCUACGCAAGUAGAGAGGAAGGUGGGGAUGACGUCAAAUCAUCACGGCCCUUACGUCUUGGGCCACACACGUAAUACAAUGGCCGGUACAGAGGGCAGCUACACAGCGAUGUGAUGCAAAUCUCGAAAGCCGGUCU